AAUCUGCCUUCAGGAUGGGGACAACAGUUGGAAACGACUGCUAAUACCCGAUAUGCAGCGAUGUGAAAGAUUUAUCGCCUGGAGAUGAGCUCGCGUCUGAUUAGCUAGUUGGUGUGGUAAAGGCGCACCAAGGCGACGAUCAGUAGCUGGUCUGAGAGGAUGAGCAGCCACACUGGGACUGAGACACGGCCCAGACUCCUACGGGAGGCAGCAGUGGGGAAUUUUCUGCAAUGGGCGAAAGCCUGACGGAGCAAUACCGCGUGAGG
rnacentral:rRNA from 1 species